GACGAACGCUGGCGGCGUGCCUAAUACAUGCAAGUAGAACGCUGAAGGAGGAGCUUGCUUCUCUGGAUGAGUUGCGAACGGGUGAGUAACGCGUAGGUAACCUGCCUGGUAGCGGGGGAUAACUAUUGGAAACGAUAGCUAAUACCGCAUAAUAGUAGAUGUUGCAUGACAUUUGCUUAAAAGGUGCAAUUGCAUCACUACCAGUUGGACCUGCGUUGUAUUAGCUAGUUGGUGGGGUAACGGCUCACCAAGGCGACGAUACAUAGCCGACCUGAGAGGGUGAUCGGCCACACUGGGACUGAGACACGGCCCAGACUCCUACGGGAGGCAGCAGUAGGGAAUCUUCGGCAAUGGACGGAAGUCUGACCGAGCAACGCCGCGUGAGUGAAGAAGGUUUUCGGAUCGUAAAGCUCUGUUGUAAGAGAAGAACGAGUGUGAGAGUGGAAAGUUCACACUGUGACGGUAUCUUACCAGAAAGGGACGGCUAACUACGUG
rnacentral:rRNA from 1 species